UACAAAUCUCUGUCCUGCAGGGAAUACAGGAGCAGAUUUACCAACGAAGAGACAGUAUCGUUCUGCUUGAGGGUAAUGGUGGGUGUCAUAAUACUCUAUGACCACGUCCAUCCAGUGGGAGCAUUUGCCAAAACUUCCAAAAUUGAUAUGAAAGGUUGUAUCAAAGUUCUUAAGGACCAACCUCCUAACAGUGUAGAAGGUCUUCUCAAUGCUCUCAGGUAUGUGACAGAAAAAGGGGUGUUAAAUGUUUGAACUGCAUCUAGAGGAUACACAGUAACGUUUAAGCUGGGAGUGUUGCUCUUGGUAAUGUUGCUUCCCAAUAGUGAUGCAAUAUUGUAUAAUGAGGGCUGUGUUUCUGCAGACAAUUCCAGCUUCACUUCUUGGCUCAAAAUUGGCUCCUUUGAGGCAGGAUUGCUUCUUCUAACUUUAAUAUAUGUGGGCUUACACACACUGGGAUGGAUGUCACCAUUGCAUGUAACUUCCUGGUGGAUUUCUCCUUACAUGUGUAGAGAAUUACAGCUCAGUGUAACUGUUAGCCUGCCGAUACGGCAGAGUGACUUUAGUGGGUGGUUCCUGUCCCUUGAGUAGCCAGCCUAGCGCCAUUGCUGUCCACAAUGUCUGCCUUGUCUUUGUUCUGAGGAGUCUUGGCUGGUGUAGUCACUGAGCUGUGCUGCAUGGUAUCUUUGUAAGUGGACAUCGUAGUGCAGAGCCAACUAAAGCAGUUUCACAGCCUAGAAGCUGAGUUUCUAUGCUUGAUUAUGUGAGGUUUAGGCAAAAAAAAAAAAA